rnacentral:rRNA from 3 species
AGACGAACGCUGGCGGCGUGCCUAAUACAUGCAAGUCGAGCGGACAGAUGGGAGCUUGCUCCCUGAUGUUAGCGGCGGACGGGUGAGUAACACGUGGGUAACCUGCCUGUAAGACUGGGAUAACUCCGGGAAACCGGGGCUAAUACCGGAUGGUUGUUUGAACCGCAUGGUUCAGACAUAAAAGGUGGCUUCGGCUACCACUUACAGAUGGACCCGCGGCGCAUUAGCUAGUUGGUGAGGUAACGGCUCACCAAGGCGACGAUGCGUAGCCGACCUGAGAGGGUGAUCGGCCACACUGGGACUGAGACACGGCCCAGACUCCUACGGGAGGCAGCAGUAGGGAAUCUUCCGCAAUGGACGAAAGUCUGACGGAGCAACGCCGCGUGAGUGAUGAAGGUUUUCGGAUCGUAAAGCUCUGUUGUUAGGGAAGAACAAGUGCCGUUCAAAUAGGGCGGCACCUUGACGGUACCUAACCAGAAAGCCACGGCUAACUACGUGCCAGCAGCCGCGGUAAUACGUAGGUGGCAAGCGUUGUCCGGAAUUAUUGGGCGUAAAGGGCUCGCAGGCGGUUUCUUAAGUCUGAUGUGAAAGCCCCCGGCUCAACCGGGGAGGGUCAUUGGAAACUGGGGAACUUGAGUGCAGAAGAGGAGAGUGGAAUUCCACGUGUAGCGGUGAAAUGCGUAGAGAUGUGGAGGAACACCAGUGGCGAAGGCGACUCUCUGGUCUGUAACUGACGCUGAGGAGCGAAAGCGUGGGGAGCGAACAGGAUUAGAUACCCUGGUAGUCCACGCCGUAAACGAUGAGUGCUAAGUGUUAGGGGGUUUCCGCCCCUUAGUGCUGCAGCUAACGCAUUAAGCACUCCGCCUGGGGAGUACGGUCGCAAGACUGAAACUCAAAGGAAUUGACGGGGGCCCGCACAAGCGGUGGAGCAUGUGGUUUAAUUCGAAGCAACGCGAAGAACCUUACCAGGUCUUGACAUCCUCUGACAAUCCUAGAGAUAGGACGUCCCCUUCGGGGGCAGAGUGACAGGUGGUGCAUGGUUGUCGUCAGCUCGUGUCGUGAGAUGUUGGGUUAAGUCCCGCAACGAGCGCAACCCUUGAUCUUAGUUGCCAGCAUUCAGUUGGGCACUCUAAGGUGACUGCCGGUGACAAACCGGAGGAAGGUGGGGAUGACGUCAAAUCAUCAUGCCCCUUAUGACCUGGGCUACACACGUGCUACAAUGGACAGAACAAAGGGCAGCGAAACCGCGAGGUUAAGCCAAUCCCACAAAUCUGUUCUCAGUUCGGAUCGCAGUCUGCAACUCGACUGCGUGAAGCUGGAAUCGCUAGUAAUCGCGGAUCACAUGC